rnacentral:rRNA from 1 species
UGCGUAGGCGGAAUAUUAAGUCAGUGGUGAAAUCCUGCGGCUCAACCGUAGAACUGCCAUUGAUACUGAUAUUCUUGAAUGUAGUUGAGGUAGGCGGAAUGUGUAAUGUAGCGGUGAAAUGCUUAGAUAUUACACAGAACACCGAUUGCGAAGGCAGCUUACUAAGCUAACAUUGACGCUGAGGCACGAAAGCGUGGGGAGCGAACAGGAUUAGAUACCCUGGUAGUCC